rnacentral:lncRNA from 1 species
UUCGCGGCGUCUUCGGACGUUAGUGCCUGAUGUGUAAUGCUCGAUGGUGAGUCAGCCACUUCCUCCCCUAAACAGAACCUGACAAACUUUUUCCACGGGACUGUACAUUUAUAUUAUUUACAGUUGAUACAGACAUCUCUUGAAAAUCCUUUUUGACUUGUUCUAUUGAGUUGCUACUGAAACUGUGCGAUGUCCUUACAGAUCGGGAAUCCUAUUCCUCUGUGGCAUUAGUGUCUAUUCCCUCGGUGAUAAAGAUGUCCGCUUCAAAGUUCCGUGAGAUUUUUCGCUUCUUUUUCUCUGCCGAAUGCAAUGUUAGUUGAUAUUCUCUGCUUCGUUCCCGUACCUGUAGGGAGUCUUUCAUCGAAAUGGAUCUUCCAUGAUACGUAACCAAAGAUCAGUAAAUUGAAGACAGCCAGUCCUAACCCAGGAUAUUCUUAUCAUCCCUGCACCUUCCAUAUUGCUGCCAUGACUGGGACUUCUGGUUCAGCUGGUGACUUGAGAUCUUAUUCUUUUGUUGUCCAUAAUGGUAAAAAUUGAAAGUUUGUAGACCAUUACAACUUCACUGACGAGCUUUAGCAUUGAUUUACAAAUAGAUACUCCAGUUGGAGAAACGGAAGCGGCUGUUCUCAGCAAUGUUACCGUACAUUGCUGGGAAUAGCCGCUUCCGUUAAAAGGAAGAGGCGUUCGUUAAGAGGAUUUUCCAGAUGGUGGUAGUGGUUGUUAAAAGAAUCGAAUGAUGACAUUGCGCAUUGAUUUGAUCUUUUGCUAAAAGAUGAAAGGAGUUUGCAGUUACGAAUCAGGAUUUCCUUAGUUUUGUUGUUACUUUGUUUUUAUUUGUAGUUGAAAUUUAUCAUUUCGUUGUCUUUAUUAAUAUAAUCCGGGAUAUUAAGGAUGAUGAGCUUUGGGUUGGAAUUCGUCUGAAGUUUUUGUUGCAGUUCUCAAAAAGAAGAGAGGGCCUGAGUAAGAUUUUUCAGGACACAAUCGGAUUUAAUUUUAAUUCCAAUAUCACUGUCAUAAGUUGGUGAUUGCACGAAUACUUAAUUCCAAGAUCACUGUGUUUAAUUUUAUUCUUAAUGAUAUUUUGUGUGUGUCUUGCGGUGAAAUUUUACCCUUUUUUUGGGUAAACAAAAAUAUUGUUCAGAUUGUUAAGUGAAUUUACUCGUAGGUGUUUUUGGAUGACCUUUUUAUAGGAGUGCAAUGUUUCAUCACAUUAGCAGUUUCUUAAAUAGUUUCUUGAUUCAAGACAGGAAAUUCUUUAGAGUGGUAGGGUUGGUCUUAUUAAAGUGUCAGUUAACUGAGUACGCUAUUGCUGGACAAUUCCGAAAAUUUAAGUUCAAACUCUACAUAUGCUGGAUAGCUUCCCAAAUUUUCUUGUUACCAUUCUUGAAAGAACCACUGUUGUGAUUACCCAAGACAUUUUUGAUUUAAGAGGAGACACUGGUUUAAAAAAAAUUUAAUAUAAGUGCAAUUUUGACUAUAUUUUACAUAAAUGUAUAGAAAUAUAAUGUAAAUAUAAAAAUGAUUUCAAAUACCAUCCAAAGAAAUUAAUUUGUCAUAUUUAUGCUUUUUUUAAUUUUUUUAAAUC